GUCCUUUAUAUGAAUACAGCUGUUGUGGGAGUGGGAUUGUUCGUCUAUGGGGAAUACACUCAAGUGUCAGAUACACUUUAUUGUAUUUGUGGGGUUGAAGUGCUCCCAAAGGUCACCUUCAUGCCCAUAGACUCAUUCAAUGUAAAUAUAAUCGGCCGAGUUAUAGGAACUGUCCAAGGGACCCUUACCCCUUGGUUCAGGUUAAUAAGGUCAGAGGGGGUCGCUACCCUUCUGGCAUGUGCUCUGGGGACCCUUACCCCCAGAGCAGCUCUGGGGACCCUUACCCCCAGGGCAGCCCUAGGGACCAUUACCCCUAGGGUUAUCAGAGCGGGCCUUAUAUAUACCCCGCAGGAUGAAAUAUAAGGCCAUAAAGAGUCUAUUGGGUUAAAUAUACAUAUAAUGUGACACUUAUUGUAACACGAGUACUUCACCCCCAUAACCCAUUCUCCCACACAAUAGCUGUCUGUGUAUAUUCUUAAUUCUUAGCUCAGUUAGCUGGCAGGAGAGCAAUUGUUCCAUUAAUAUUAGCUUGUAUUAAAAACCCCCGCAAAUUCUUCUUUAAAGUAAAAGUGUCUAGA